rnacentral:rRNA from 1 species
UGGUGAAUAUUGCACAAUGGGGGAAACCCUGAUGCAGCGACGCCGCGUGAGCGAAGAAGGUUUUCGAAUCGUAAAGCUCUGUCCUAUGAGAAGAUAAUGACGGUACCAUAAGAAAAAGCCCCGGCUAACUACGUGCCAGCAGCCGCGGUAAUACGUAGGGGGCUAGCGUUGUCCGGAAUCACUGGGCGUAAAGGGUUCGCAGGCGGAAAUGCAAGUCAGGUGUAAAAGGCAGUAGCUUAACUACUGUAAGCAUUUGAAACUGCAUAUCUUGAGAAGAGUAGAGGUAAGUGGAAUUUUUAGUGUAGCGGUGAAAUGCGUAGAUAUUAAAAAGAAUACCGGUGGCGAAGGCGACUUACUGGGCUCAUUCUGACGCUGAGGAACGAAAGCGUGGGUAGCAAACAGG